AGUGAACGGUUGCGUCAUUUUCCGCAGUUAUUUGAAACUGCAAAAAGUUCUCGUUGUGUGUACAUGGUACACCUUAGGCACAAAAAAAGAAAACAAAAAUAAUAAAACCAGUCAUGAUUAUUAUUUGAUAGUUUAAGUUAUGGUUAAUCUCGGUUUAUUAGCUUUUGUUAGCUAAAAUAACGCAAAACAGUGUCUUUUCGUGUUGGCUAGAUUAGCUUAUCUUAGCACGACGCAGUAAACAGUUGUAAGGUUAGCAUACACUGCUCUGUUUGUUUUCCGAGAAUAGGACAGCUACCCAGGUGUAGCCUAUUAACAUAUUUUUAAAACAACUUUGUGUGUAAUUGGAAAAAACUUGUCAAAAAUUUCUUCGUUCAAAAGAAAGGGACGAUAUGGAGAAGCAGGAGCAGACGGAGUGGGACGCAGUGAACCGCCUGCUGCAGCACCAUGGCUUUAAACCCGUCCGCUUCGCAGAUCCCGCCGAGAACAAGAACCUGGCAGACCUGGUGCUGUUGGAGAGGACAUCCUCGUCUGAGCUGCGCACGAUGCUGAGGACGAUGCUGACGGACUCGGAGCGGAGACAAGCGCUGAUCCAGGAGCUCAUCCAGUCCAACAGCAAGUUGAAGCAGGAAGUGGAGCAGCAGCAGGCUCGGGCCACGCGUCAGUCACACAGAGCAGAGGAGCUGGAGGGCGUGCUGGCCGGCGUAAAGGUCAAAGUUCAGGGUCUGGAGGACUCCAUUAUCAAUAAAGCGGCGCUGCAGCGGGGACAACUACAGCAGCUGCAGCAGGACGAGCGAGACGCCGAGAUGCGCUGUCAGGCUCUGCAGCUGCAGCUCAGUGAGCAGGUGUCUCAGGUGUGUCAGCUGCAGAAGAAGCUCCACCUCGCCGUGAAAGAGGAGGAGAAACGAGCGUCCCGCCAGAACCAGGCUUUCCAGCAGUUCUUCAGUCGCUCAGCUCGACUACACUCGCCUAGUGAUCAGCUGAUCCUGGACGUCAUCAGUGUUUACGAAGCUCAGCUGCAGGAGCUGCAGGAGAAACUGAAGAGGACUCGCAGGUGCAGAGAGUGUAAGAGCGACUCGUCCGACUCUCACAACACCGACACGUCCCAGUUAACCUCAUCCAGCUACAGAUCCCUGCUCAAGUCGUAUCAGGAGCAGUUGAAGAAGACUAAAGCGCAGCGUGAAGAUCUGAAGUCGGAGAUUCAGCGUCUCAGACAGGACCUGGACUCCAGGCCAAGUGUGAAAGAACUGAAGUGGUGUAAGCAGCAGCUGAGGAGGAUGGAGCGUCUCGUCCAACACACCAACAUCAGGUCAGUCCAGACGGAGACUGAAGCUCCUCCCAGCUCCAGCACUGAGACACAGCGACAUGUCACAGAGAGCCAGAGAUGCAUCACGGAGAUCUGCUCGGAGCUGAAGGUGCAGGACGUGGGUCACGUCGUGGCCGCCGUUCGGGCGCGCUGCAGAGAGGCCGACUCGGCGCUCCGAUUCGAGAAGAUCCUCGGCGACAUCACGGCCGUCCUGACCGAUCCGAGCGCUCCGCUGGCGCUCCCGAGGCGACGCCCUGACGCCGCCGCAGGCUCAGAGCUGGAGCAGAUCGUCCCUACGCUGGAGACGUGGAGCCAACAGCUCAGCGCUCUGCCUGAUCUGCAGCGCUUCGUGAGCACGCUGGUGAAGAGGCUGUUGCCGUGGCAGCCGGAGGACGGGGCACGUCCUCGGUCCGAGUGCGUGAAGGUGGAGGACGUGAUGCGCAUGGUGGAUACGCUGCUGGACCAGACCGCUCCAGACGACAAGGUGUUGCGCACUCCCACUAAGCCCACCCUGCAGGCCAUUGUGUCUCACUUCCAGAAGCUGUUUGACGUCGCGAGUCUGCGCGGUGUUUACCCGAGGAUGAACGAGGUUUACACUCGAUUAGAGGAGAUGAACAACGUCAUGAGGAACCUCCGAGACAUCCUGGACCUGGAUGACAGAGCGCCCCCUAGUGAAGUGGUGAACGCAGUGGCCAGAAUCAUGACUGGAUACGGUUUUAAUCAAAACCCACUGGAGCUGCUUGGAACUGGUGACAUAGACAGCAUUAUAGUGAAGCUGAAGGAACACGAGGAAUUCUUUCCUGCCUUCAACUCUCUGGUCCUCGAGCUGCUAAACACUCUGGUUGUUCCUUUUAGAUCGGUUCCCCCAGUACGGUGUUGCCAUGUCUGCUGAAAUUGUUAUUUUUGGGGCUUAUAUCAAAACAUGGGAACUGGAGUCGACUUUUCUAGUGACAUCUGGAAACUGAGUUUAAAUGAAGUGAAUGCACUGUGCGCGUGAGCCAGGACGAGUUAGUGAAGAGAGUGAAGGAGAGCAGCAGUGUACUGCAUGUCUACAGACCGAACAGUUCUACUCUUGAUGAUGAUUGGUGCUGAGAGUCUGGAGGACAUUUUACCUCGGGUCAGGACAUUGAAAUCAAUGACCGAGUGACACUUCCACACCCCUGCGACGUUUCUACUCGCCUUCACCCCAUCCUGCUGUGAGAAAUUACUAGACUGCUAGAAUCCUUUACUUAUUUAUAUACAUGUAUUUUAUUUAAGAAAUUUGUCUUGGGUAACAACAUGAACAGUUUAGCACCUGUGUGAUGUAGUUUCUCACCUCACUGUGAAUUAAACUCCAUUCUAGAACAAUCCUGUGGUGAAGAAGUUUGUUCUCAGUCAGCGUGGAAUACACUGCAACACAGUUUAACUGCAUUCCAGUUAUAACGAUGUUCAUGGUGUUUCUCUCCUCACCCAAACACGUGCUCUGUAAUAAUCUACUUUCCCCCCUUAUACCCUCCUUAAAUUCGGGUAUAAGCCUUUUAGUAUGUAUAAUAACCCUUUAAACAGAACAGCCAGGUGUCACAUAACUAUCAGGAGGUAAAUAAAUAACGCUUUGAAUUAAACCUCUCUUCAAACUCGAGUAAUAAGACAGCAGCAGAUCUGCGUCAGCGUCCGUCACAUUGAGAAGGUGUGCGUGUGG